rnacentral:lncRNA from 1 species
CCCCCUCACCCCCUCUCUCCAGCUGAAGAAGGACUACCUGGAUGGGCUCGGGGACACGCUGGACCUGGUGGUCAUCGGCGCCUACCUGGGCAAGGGCAAGCGUGCAGGCAUCUACGGGGGCUUCCUGCUGGCCUGCUACGACGAGGAGAGCGAGGAGUACCAGAGCAUCUGCAAGGUGCCCCCCUGGGGCCACCCGCGGGCUUGGGGACGUCGCAGGGGGCGACCUUCCCGAACCCUUCCUCGUCCUCCCGUGCAGAUCGGCACCGGUUUCACGGAGGAGAGCCUGGAGAAGCACUACGGCUUCCUCAAGGUGUGGAGCGCUGGAGAAGCGGCGCCGCGGGGGACGAGCGCCGGGGCCGGCUCCUGAUGCCCUCCCUUGGUGUCGCCCUCCAGGAGCACGUCCUGGCCCAGCCGCGUCCCUACUACCGCUGGGACAGCGGCGCGGCCCCCGACCGCUGGCUGGCGGCGGUGCAGGUCUGGGAGGUGAAGUGCGGGGACCUCUCCAUCUCCCCCGUCUAUAGGGCAGCCGUGGGGCUGGUGAGCGGGGCAGGAGGACGCGGGGCAGGGGGGGGGUCCUCGUGUUCGGCCCCCGUGGCGUCUCAGCCCUGCGGGUGUCCCCAAGGUGGACGAGGAGAAGGGCAUCUCGCUGCGCUUCCCCCGGUUCCUGCGUGUGCGGGAGGACAAGAAGCCGGAGGAGGCCACCAGCAGCACCCAGGUGGCCGAGCUGUACAAGAAGCAGCAGCAGAUCCAGAACCAGCAGCAGGCAGAGAAAGGGGAGGACGAGAAGUUUUACUGAGACACCACGGCCCCCGUAGGGUCCGUCCCCCCCCAGGGCCCCCCUACCGUGGGGGGGGGCACGAGGUGGGGACCCUGGGGCCUGACCUUGCUCUGUCCCUGAGGGCAUGCGCGUGGCUACCCUGGGGACGGGGACAGGGACCCUGGGACUUGGUGUCACCCCGGGCAGGGCCAGCUCCCUGCCCCUUUACCCCCACCCCCACCCCAAGACCCCCCCUGCCUCCCCCUUUUGGGGGCCCCUGCAUGCUUCCCAUCAGGGACAGGGAUGCUGGAACGCGGCCAUCCUCCGUCCCUGGUGUCCCCAUGUCCCCCUCCUCCGGCAAGGGGACCCCCAGGGCAUGA